GGGAGUGACUUGGCUUCGACAGGAGCAGGUUGGUCUUGAUUGCAUGCCGCUUUGAACAGAGCGUAAAAAGUUCAUAAAUUUAGACGCAAAUAACAAAAAUUACGCUCCUGCUUACGCAAAAAUCGCGUAAGUUUAACUCUUAAGGAGGCUUUGCACCGCGGAUGCUAUCUAAGCGGGUUUUGCAAGGCUCAAAAAACAGAUAGCUUAAGCCGGACAUCUAACCGCCGUCAGGCUGACAUUCAGGUUUGCGCUUUUGUGUAGCCUUCGCGGAUUGAGUGAAACAAAAGCAAAGAUUUAUCAAUCCUUCUAAGCAUGUAGACGUCAAGAUGGGGCUUGUUUUUGGACAGGGGUUCAAUUCCCCUCACUUCCACCA
rnacentral:tmRNA from 1 species